rnacentral:rRNA from 1 species
CCUACGGGGGGCAGCAGUGGGGAAUAUUGGACAAUGGGGGCAACCCUGAUCCAGCCAUGCCGCGUGAGUGAAGAAGGCCUUCGGGUUGUAAAGCUCUUUCGACGGGGAGGCGGUACCCGUAUAAGAAGCCCCGGCUAACUUCGUGCCAGCAGCCGCGGUAAUACGAAGGGGGCUAGCGUUGUUCGGAAUUACUGGGCGUAAAGCGCGCGUAGGCGGUGAUCUUUGUCAGAGGUGAAAGCCCGGGGCUCAACUCCGGAAUUGCCUUUGAAACGGGAUCGCUAGAGUCCGAGAGAGGAUGGCGGAAUUCCUAGUGUAGAGGUGAAAUUCGUAGAUAUUAGGAAGAACACCGGUGGCGAAGGCGGCCAUCUGGCUCGGACUGACGCUCAGGCGCGAAAGCGUGGGGAGCAAACAGGAUUAGAUACCCUUGUAGUC